rnacentral:tRNA from 2 species
GCCACGGUAGCUCAGCCGGGAGAGCGCUUGCUUGGUAAGCAAGCGGUCGCGGGUUCAAAUCCCGCCCGUGGCU